CGGACGGGUGAGUAACGCGUGGGUAACCUGCCUCAUACAGGGGGAUAACAGUUAGAAAUGACUGCUAAUACCGCAUAAGCGCACGGUCUCGCAUGGGACGGUGUGAAAAACUCCGGUGGUAUGAGAUGGACCCGCGUCUGAUUAGCUAGUUGGCGAGGUAAGGGCUCACCAAGGCGACGAUCAGUAGCCGGCCUGAGAGGGUGAACGGCCACAUUGGGACUGAGACACGGCCCAAACUCCUACGGGAGGCAGCAG
rnacentral:rRNA from 1 species